CCUACGGGAGGCUGCAGUGAGGAAUAUUGGUCAAUGGACGAGAGUCUGAACCAGCCAAGUAGCGUGAAGGAUGACUGCCCUAUGGGUUGUAAACUGCUUUUAUAUGGGAAUAAAAGCUUCCACGCGUGUGUGUCUGUAUGUAUCCUAUGAAUAAGGAUCGGCUAACUCCGUGCCAGCAGCCGCGGUAAUACGGAGGAGCCGAGCGUUAUCCGGAAUUAUUGGGUGUAAAGGGUGAGUAGGUGGAUUGUUAAGCCAGUUGUGAAAGUGUGCGGCUUAACCGUAAAAUUGCAGUUGAAACUAGCAGGCUAGAGUACAGGAGAGGAGGGCGGAAUUCGUGGUGUAGCGGUGAAAUGCUUAGAUAUUACGAAGAACUCCGAUUGCGAAGGCAGCUCACUGGACUGCAACUGACACUGAGGCUCGAAAGUGUGGGUAUCGAACAGGAUUAGAUACCCCGGUAGUC
rnacentral:rRNA from 1 species